rnacentral:rRNA from 1 species
AACGAACGCUGGCGGCAUGCCUAACACAUGCAAGUCGAACGAGACCUUCGGGUCUAUUGGCGCACGGGUGCGUAACGCGUGGGAACCUGCCCUUAGGUUCGGAAUAACUCCCCGAAAGGGGUGCUAAUACCGGAUAAUGUCUUCGGACCAAAGAUUUAUCGCCUUUGGAUGGGCCCGCGUUGGAUUAGCUAGUUGGUAGGGUAAAAGCCUGCCAAGGCGACGAUCCAUAGCUGGUCUGAGAGGAUGAUCAGCCACACUGGGACUGAGACACGGCCCAGACUCCUACGGGAGGCAGCAGUGGGGAAUAUUGGACAGUGGGCGAAAGCCUGAUCCAGCAAUGCCGCGUGAGUGAUGAAGGCCUUAGGGUUGUAAAGCUCUUUUACCCGGGAUGAUAAUGACAGUACCGGGAGAAUAAGCUCCGGCUAACUCCGUG